rnacentral:rRNA from 1 species
CACGCACACACGCGCGGCAUAUCAAUAAGCGGAGGAAAAGAAACUAACUAGGAUUCCCUUAGUAACGGCGAGUGAAGCGGGAAGAGCUCAAAUUUGGAAUCUUCAAGGUUCUACCUUGACGAAUUGUAGUUUAUAGAAGUGUUUUCUGUUAGUGGAGUGGCAAAAGUUCUUUGGAAUAGGACAUCAUAGAGGGUGAGAAUCCCGUAUUUGGUCAUUCCUCCUAGCGUUGUGAUACACUUUCAACGAGUCGGAUUGUUUGGGAAUGCAGUCCAAAAUGGGUGGUAAAUUUCAUCUAAAGCUAAAUAUUGGCGAGAGACCGAUAGCGAACAAGUACCGUGAGGGAAAGAUGAAAAGAACUUUGAAAAGAGAGUUAAACAGUACGUGAAAUUGUCAAAAGGGAAGCGUUUGACACCAGUGUUGUUUUUCCGAAAAUCAAUUACGAAUGUUUUGUUUUUGAGGAGUUAUGACUUCAUCGGCUUGCUCCUUUCUUUAUGAAACUUUCUUAAUGCACUUUUCGGUUAACAAGUCAACAUCAAUUUCUUUUGUUGUAAAAGAGUAUAGGAAGGUGGCUUCAUCUUCGGUUAGAAAGUGUUUAUAGCCCUUUAUACCUCUACAAUCGGAGAGAUUGAGGUCUGCAGCGUAGACUCUUCGGGGUUAGAUACAUUUGUGCUAAGCUAUAGCUUUUUAUAGACAACUUGUUGACUAUAGUUUAGUCUUGUAGCUUACUCGCUUAUGCUAUUUUACCUACGCUUAGGAUGUUGAUAGUCACAGCGUGUAC